GAUGAACGCUGGCGGCGUGCCUAAUACAUGCAAGUCGAGCGAACAGACGAGGAGCUUGCUCCUCUGACGUUAGCGGCGGACGGGUGAGUAACACGUGGAUAACCUACCUAUAAGACUGGGAUAACUUCGGGAAACCGGAGCUAAUACCGGAUAAUAUAUUGAACCGCAUGGUUCAAUAGUGAAAGACGGUUUUGCUGUCACUUAUAGAUGGAUCCGCGCCGCAUUAGCUAGUUGGUAAGGUAACGGCUUACCAAGGCGACGAUGCGUAGCCGACCUGAGAGGGUGAUCGGCCACACUGGAACUGAGACACGGUCCAGACUCCUACGGGAGGCAGCAGUAGGGAAUCUUCCGCAAUAGGCGAAAGCCUGACGGAGCAACGCCGCGUGAGUGAUGAAGGUCUUCGGAUCGUAAAACUCUGUUAUUAGGGAAGAACAAAUGUGUAAGUAACUAUGCACGUCUUGACGGUACCUAAUCAGAAAGCCACGGCCAACUACGUG
rnacentral:rRNA from 1 species